rnacentral:rRNA from 1 species
UACGAAGGGGGCUAGCGUUGCUCGGAAUCACUGGGCGUAAAGGGCGCGUAGGCGGCCGAUCAAGUCGGGGGUGAAAGCCUGUGGCUCAACCACAGAAUUGCCUUCGAUACUGUUUGGCUAGAGACCGGAAGAGGUUAGUGGAACUGCGAGUGUAGAGGUGAAAUUCGUAGAUAUUCGCAAGAACACCAGUGGCGAAGGCGGCUAACUGGUCCGGUUCUGACGCUGAGGCACGAGAGCAUGGGUAGCGAACAGG